GAUGUCUACAGGUAAAAUCUGAUUUAUUUAUUUUUUUUAAAAGUGAUUUUAUGCUGGUUUUCAGCGCAUUUAGGAACACCCACUUUUUGGAGCUAAAAGUGACGUCACCGACAGAGGACCAAAGAGUUUGAAGGAAUGUUCAAAGAUGGCUGCCAGACGGGUUGUUGCAAGUUGUAGCAAUGCAACUAAAGAAGGGGACAGCCGGCAUUAAUUUCCAAAUGAUGGCAACAUGAGGAAGGAGCAUCCUCGAGGGGCGAAAGACUGAGUCAGAACCUGCGGAAAAACGGAGAUAGAGCAAACAAGAGAAAGAAAAGGUAAACCACUGGUGUUGUAUUU